AACGAACUAACAGCAGGAAAAUAUAAAAUAAAAGAAAAUGGGGAAAAAAUACAUCUUGUUGUUGUUGGUGUGCCUUGUUGUGGCUGCGGCUGUUUGUGUUGAGGCGGAGGAAUACACCGAUUUGCAAAAGGAUUGCUUCGGUCACUGCUGGCAUGGUUGCUUUUUCCCCACACCAUUCUGCGAUGGCUGGUGUGCUACAGCCUGCAAAUACCCAAUCAAUAUGGGUUUAUGAAAAUGAGCAGUAGAAAGUAAACUUCAUUAGUGCAUGUAACGUGGUCAUCAAAAUUUUGAGAAGCUGACAGAGGCAACUUCCAGUGGAUUGAAAAUAUUGAAAGAUGAUAGCCUGUACAAUGAGUAAAGCGUCCCGUACCAUCUGAGGAAGAUGAGUUACGCGUCUCAGCGCUGUCACCCAAGAGCCCAACAGUAUGUAAAGGAAGGCUUUCCGGUGAAGGACAUUACCAUGUUUACUCACAAAGUUUUCUCAUCAAUUUGGCCAUUGCAUUUUGAUUCACUUUUUCCUCCUUCCCUCUCCUUUUUUUUCCAUAA